rnacentral:misc_RNA from 1 species
AUUAAGAGUACUAGCUGACAAUGUACCAGGCCUGGGUAUUCUAUUGAGACCAAUAAUUGAUUACCUACCAUCCUGGCAGAAAGUAUACUUCUACCUUUGGUCGGCUUGAGCUUAGAACAUGACUGAUUUUUUUUUAAUCAAAACCACGCUGUGAUGAGAAAAUAUGGAAGUACCUAAUUUUCUCCCAAUGCAAUACAUGUGUAUUUGAGUAACAUUUACUGAUUUUGAUCAUACAAUGUUUUUUAAAAAUUUUAUAGUAAGGGUUUGCAGAUAUUUUGAUUAUAUCACCAUGGCCUCAAAGGAGUAACAUUAUUAAUAAGAUCGUUCUGUGUUGUAAAUUGAAGAUGUUUAAGAAUGCAGUAAAAUGUGUCAGAAAAGUUAUAAAUAAACUUAGUUAUAAAU